rnacentral:rRNA from 1 species
GACGAACGCUGGCGGCGUGCUUAACACAUGCAAGUCGAACGGUGAAGCGCCUUCCUUUUUGGUGGGUGUGGUUGAGAGGCGAACGGGAGCGCAACACGUGAGUAACCUGCCCUCUUCUUCUGCUUAACCGCAUGAAAGUGUGGCUAAUACGGGAUCUUCUGGUUCUGUGGCAUGGUGGGUCUGGGAAGGCUAUUGGUUCGGUGGGGGAUGGUCUUGGGGCCUGUCAGCUUGUUGGUGGGGUGAUGGCCUACGAAGGCGGUGGCGGUUAGCAGGCCUGCGAGGGUGGACGGUCAGACUGGGACAGAGGCACGGUCCGGACUGCUAUGGGGGGCAGCAGCCGGGGAGAGUGCACAAUGGGCGCAAGUCUGAUACGGCGGGGCCGCGGAAGGGGUAAAGCCGUGCGGGGGGUGAACCUCUUUCGCUUGUAAAGCGCGUCUGCCUCGGAUGUGGGGGGGGUGACGGUAGCGGGUAAAGAAGCGCCGGCUAACUACGUG